AACUCAACUAAAAAUAUAAUACUAGAUGUACUGGUUAAUAAUCCGGAUUUUUUUCAAUAGAUGGAGUUACACAUAUGUUGAUAUAUAUGUGAUUUGAUGUGUAUGCUAUUUUUGUUGUAUUGACAACAAGCUUCAAAACUUCAUGUGUCAAAUUUGCUGAAUGUGUUAACAUCAGAGAUAUAUUUACGCUUAAAAAUGUCAAAUUUCGUGCCAAAAAA